rnacentral:tRNA from 1 species
GGGCGUAGCUCAGUGGUAGAGCACCAGCCUUCCAAGCUGGGAGUCGUGGGUUCGAUCCCCAUCGCC